rnacentral:rRNA from 1 species
CAGUCGCCACGGUAAUACGAGGGGGGCAAGCGUUGUUCGGAAUUAUUGGGCGUAAAGCGUGCGUAGGCGGUGAGUUAAGUCUGAUGUGAAAUCCCCGGGCUCAACCUGGGAAUGGCAGUGGAUACUGGCUCGCUAGAGUGUGUCAGAGGAUAGUGGAAUUCCCGGUGUAGCGGUGAAAUGCGUAGAGAUCGGGAGGAACAUCAGUGGCGAAGGCGGCCAUCUGGGACAACACUGACGCUGAGGCACGAAAGCGUGGGGAGCAAACAGGAUUAGAUACCCGCGUAGUCCCUGUCUCUUAUAA